GGCUAAAUAGCAUUUCCUGUCAAGAAUUAUUUAUGACUAUCUUUAACACAGGCUGAAAGUGAAACUUUUCACAGCGAAGAACAGAAUUCCUCAGAAUGCAGCAUAAGGUCGUAAAGUUUAGCAGACAGUUAGAAUAACCCUUUCAAUGCUGGCUAGAUCUCCUAGGUAGUUAAGAUCUAUUCUUAUGUAAUUUUUAAAUAAAAUAACAUUUAAACCAGUUUAAAUUCAUUUUCUUAAACCAUCCAAUAAGAGAAUCUACAUAUUAUAUAAGCAG